GGGGAGCUGAGUCGUCAACUGGAAGAAAAGGAAAGCAUAGUGUCCCAACUUUCCAGGAGCAAACAAGCAUUUACCCAGCAAAUAGAAGAGCUCAAGAGGCAGUUAGAGGAAGAAAGCAAGGCCAAGAACGCCCUGGCCCACGCCCUGCAGUCCUCCCGCCACGACUGUGACCUGCUGCGGGAACAGUAUGAGGAGGAGCAGGAGUCCAAGGCCGAGCUGCAGAGGGCGCUGUCCAAGGCCAACAGCGAGGUGGCCCAGUGGAGGACCAAAUACGAGACGGACGCCAUCCAGCGCACGGAGGAGCUGGAGGAGGCCAAG